rnacentral:rRNA from 1 species
GACGAACGCUGGCGGCGUGCUUAACACAUGCAAGUCGAACGGUGAAGGGACCGGUUUUUGCUGGUUCUGGAUGAGUGGCGAGCGGGUGAGUAACACGUGAGUAACCUGCCCCCUUCUUCUGGAUAACCGCAUGAACGUGUGGCAAAUACGGGAAAUUCUGCGCCUGCUGCAUGGUGUGGGUGGGCAAGGUAUUGUUGCGGUGGGGGGAGGGCUCGCGGCCUAUCGGCUUGUUGGUGGGGUGAUGGCCUACCAAGGCGGUGCCGGGUCGCCGGCCUGGGAGGGUGGACGGCCCCACUGGGGAUGCGCCACCGCCCAGACUGCGACGGGAGGCAGCAGGGGAGAAUAGUGCACAGUGGGCGCAAGCCUGGUGCAGCGACGCCGCGUGAGGGAUGGAGGCCUUCGCGUUGUAAACCUCUUUCGCCAGUGAAGCAGGCCUGUCCCUUUUGUGGGUGGGUUGACGGUAGCUGGAUAAGAAGCGCCGGCUAACUACGUG